GAUGAACGCUGGCGGCGUGCCUAAUACAUGCAAGUCGAGCGAACAGACGAGAGUGCUUGCACUCUCUGACGUUAGCGGCGGACGGGUGAGUAACACGUGGGUAACCUACCUAUAAGACCGGGAUAACUUCGGGAAACCGGAGCUAAUACCGGAUAAUAUUUAGCUUCGCAUGAAGCAAUAGUGAAAGACGGUUCUGCUGUCACUUAUAGAUGGACCCGCGGUGUAUUAGCUAGUUGGUGAGGUAACGGCUCACCAAGGCAACGAUACAUAGCCGACCUGAGAGGGUGAUCGGCCACACUGGGACUGAGACACGGCCCAGACUCCUACGGGAGGCAGCAGUAGGGAAUCUUCCGCAAUGGACGAAAGUCUGACGGAGCAAUGCCGCGUGAGUGAAGAAGGUUUUCGGAUCGUAAAACUCUGUUGUAAGGGAAGAACAAGUACGUUAGUAACUGAACGUACCUUGACGGUACCUUACCAGAAAGCCACGGCUAACUACGUG
rnacentral:rRNA from 1 species